AGGCUUGAUUGGGUUUGGGGGAGAGGUGUAGAUAUUGCCUCCUGCUGAACUCUCUGAAGCAUCCUGGUGGCUUGGCCUUGCUGGAGAGAGCUCUUGAGCAGGAGCUUAAGGUUCAAAUGUAGUAAAGAAGAGCGAGUUUUCAUGGUGAAGAACUCGAUGCUGACUUUACAAAUGUGCUGAUGGAGCACGUGAUAAAAACUAAGAAUAAUGAGGGCCAAAGGAAAAUAUUCUACCUCCUUCAGCUGUGACUUCUACAAAGGCAAGAUAGCACAUCCUGUUGUGCCUCAGACAAGGAGAAUAUCAGUUGUAUGAGGUUGUUCUGAAAUCAGGGCCGCGAUCCGCCCACAGGCCAGCUACCUUAUUCAACUCCUUUGAAGCUCCGUGUGAGUCCUGGAAGGAAUUUGGCUGCUCCCAGGUGCUUGAUGUGUGCUGUAAGCAAGUCCCAAGACUUGCUGGAAGCAAGAGGGAAAGGCUGCAUCCUGGGAAAUGGCUCUGAAUAAUGAAGAGCCCUUCCUUGAGAGAACUGGUCACCAGCCCAAUUAAAGAGGAGCCUCCCCUACCUCAUCCUGGCAAGCAGAAUGUUUUUCUGGCAUACAAGUUCUCCAGUCAUGCCAAAUAACCACUGUGGGAUUUCUCGGGUCCCUAAUGGCUUUUGAAAAAAUACAGUAUGUAAGCCAUUAAAGUACUGGCUCUGGGACUGUUUCCCAAGUAGAUCUGUGUAGAAGCAAAUGGCAACUCUUGCAUUUUGUCAGUCUUCAGGUUUUUACUUUAAUCUUCUGUCCUUUUGAGAAACUUCCUAUUACAGGAUCUCAAAGUGUCAUAUAAGCACUAGUGAAUAAAGGGCUGUAGCUUGGCUGCAUACUUGAAUCUCACUUUGCAUUAACUUACUGAGUGAUUACAAGCAAAUGAGGCUUUUCAUAAAUACAAAGUAGGAAUUAAAGUA